rnacentral:misc_RNA from 1 species
UUUUUUUCAGCGGGAAAUUUGAGAUUAUUGUCGUUGCAGCUAAAUUUGUUUUCUGUUUUAACAAUUUCUUUUUUGACUGGAUUAUUUUCGUGGUAGUUAUUUUAUUUUAUGUCAUGCCAUAUAGAUUUCUUUCUGCAAUUUUGAAUUAUGAAUUAUUUAUUUUCUAUUUUUCAAAAAAAAAAAAAAAAAACUCCAAAUCAA